rnacentral:rRNA from 1 species
GAGGAAUCUUGCGCAAUGGGCGAAAGCCUGACGCAGCAACGCCGCGUGGGUGAUGAAGGCCUUCGGGUCGUAAAACCCUGUCAGGUGGGAAGAACUGGCGGCGGGUUAACACCCCGUCGUCUUGACUGUACCA